UACGGGGGGGGGCAAGCGUUGUUCGGAAUUACUGGGCGUAAAGAGCUCGUAGGUGGUUUGUCGCGUUGUUCGUGAAAACUCACAGCUUAACUGUGGGCGUGCGGGCGAUACGGGCAGACUGGAGUACUGCAGGGGGAGACUGGAAUUCCUGGUGUAGCGGUGGAAUGCGCAGAUAUCAGGAGGAACACCGGUGGCGAAGGCGGGUCUCUGGGCAGUAACUGACGCUGAGGAGCGAAAGCGUGGGGGAGCGAACAGG
rnacentral:rRNA from 1 species